rnacentral:rRNA from 1 species
UUGUCCUUAGUUACCAGCACGUUAUGGUGGGCACUCUAAAGGAGACUGCCGGGUGACAAACCGGAGGAAGGUGGGGGAUGACGUCAAGUCAUCAUGGCCCUUACGGCCUGGGCUACACACGUGCUACAAUGGUCGGUACAAAGGGUUGCCAAGCCGCGAGGUGGAGCUAAUCCCAUAAAACCGAUCGUAGUCCGGAUCGCAGUCUGCAACUCGACUGCGUGAAGUCGGAAUCGCUAGUAAUCGUGAAUCAGAAUGUCACGGUGAAUACGUUCCCGGGCCUU